AGGGCGGAUCCCCAGCCUCCUGGGUUCUCGUUCUGGCCUCCAAGGGAACUGGUGUCUUGGGGACGGCUUCUCUUUGCCUUGCCUGACAUGGUACCACCAUCCCCUCAGCCUUCUGGACGGCAACACCAAAGCCAGAACCUCCCCCCACCCUUCAAAAGAGUUCCAGCUUAAGUGCUAAUGCCAAGUGUUAGAUCUUGUUUAUUUAUUUGUUUGAAAUCAGAGACUAAUUAAUGUCAAGCAAAGCUGUUGAAAGAUUGCGGAGCCCUGGUCGAUUUCCAGUGACCAGAUCACUUCCAUAACUAAAACAGGUCUUGUUAGAAUUGCUGCCAAUAGCAGCUUACCCUUUUGUCUGUAAUCUGUUGUUUCAAAGAGGAAUCUUGAAGUCUGGGUUUGGUUGUGUUUUUCUGUUGUUGUUCUCUUAUCUUCGAAGCAUAUGCAUUCCAUUUCAAGCCUGUCACUGUGUGAUAUACCAAGGACCAUGUGUGGCUUGCCUCUCUGAUUUCCUGUUCUGGGAAUGCUCUGGAAUCUGGAUCCUGCUGGGGAAUGGGCCCCGUGGGAGGGAGAAAGGGAGAGGGGAGGUUGAGCAGGACCAUAACCAGAGAAGAUGGUGGCAUGUCUCUGGGGCUUAUAGAGGAAAUCAGAGGUCACCAGGGAAAAAGAGACUGUUGUGAGACUAAUGUUUUGUAUGUGUGUGCACGUUUAAAUCUCUGUGGGUGAAACUAACUGCAAAUUUAGAAUCUCACUUUAGGGUGCUGGCUCCUGAGUAGGUACGAGUUUGAAAAUAGUUGUCUAGCAAAUGGCUUACAGCACACCUGCUCCCACCUCCAACCCACACGUAAUAAGCUGUUGCUGUCCUGCAGCUGAAGCUCAAGAAACCUGUCCUUCCAUCGAAAUCCAAAUAUUCCACAGGGAGAGGUAAUGGUGUCACAUAGCACCCCACAACUCUUAGCGGUCGCUGGUUAGGCUAAGAGACUAACAUCCUCUGGGGGCAUUUGUCCCAAGAGCCUUGCCUACUGUUGGGAGUCCCACUCAGCCAUUCCAGUUCCUUCAUAACUCAUCCGCUCUAUCCUUGGUCUUGUGGGGGCAAAGCGGGGGUGGUAGAGAAAAUUUAAGGAAAGGGGGGUGCUGUGGACUAAGGGCUUUGCAACAAAAUUGUAGUCAUUUUUAACUCCUCCCAUUGUUCUCUAUCAGAAUAAAAUGUUUUAAUGGUAUUGCUUCUGGAAAAAAAAUUUUAUAAACAAGUUAGGUUUGGACCAGACUUCUAAGCACUUGAACAGGAGUGGAAAGUGAACACAUUCCUUCCGUCUUCUCCAGUGGACUGUGCUUCCUCCCAUAACGUGAGGGCUUCAUGCGGAGCAGAAGGGCGGGGGGAGUGGACUUGGCAUGUUUAAGCCGCCUGUGUGAGUGCAGCCCACUAGGGCAGCCCUGGCCGGGAAGUCUGUCAUCUCAUCAUGCCACACUCAAAGUCCUGCUGCUGGAUGGAUGGAGGAAGCCCUGCAGUGAGGCUUUGCCAGGAUCAUCUGGGAAGCCCUGGGGCUGCCAGCAGCCUCCUGCCUUUUUAAAGGGGGGCCUACUGUGUCAAGAGCAUCCAGACCCUUCCAUGCUGCCUCAUCUCGUCUCCCUAAGCCCAGCUGCCUUAUACUUGGGCCAAGACUAGAGCAUCUGGGGCAGUGGGGCCAUGGGGCACACCCCUUGAAGGCUCUGCGAGGAGGGGCACCCUUCAUUGAGAACACGUGUUGGAAUAUGUUCAUGGGUCUCCCGGUUGAGUGUGGAAAACCACGAAUACUCCCAGUCUUGAGGCUUGCCAAGAUAUGGGCUUCAAAAGGGAGGUGUGGACAUUGCCUGCUGCUGAGUCACCCUGGGGCAUGAGGAGACCUGCCCCAACCUUCAGGCUGUGGUAAGGACUGGAACCACCCAGCCCAAGCCUUGGAUCGUACAUCCCCACCCCAGUCCCAUUGAGUCCUGAUUGCCACUUUAAUGGCAGAAUGUUUCUAGUAGGUUGGGGUUCCCUGGGAUCUUAGCAGUCCUUUCACAGAGGGGAACUAAAGGUAGGACUAGGAGUGACUUACCAGGUUCCCUGGGCUGACCAAUGGCAAGGCCACUACCUGAACUGAGGUCUGCACCCUCCACCCCCUUAAUUCUCUAAUCUUGAACUCAAGUUAUAGGUGCCUCUGAAGGUGCUGGUGGUUGGCCUGAGAAAUGCUAGGGGCUGGAUUAGGGGCGGGCAACAUGAGGCUCAAGGGAUUGAGGUCCUCUGUGCUCCAGAAGUGCUUGCGACAGCUGUGACUAAGGGAUUUAAGGAAGUGGCAGAAAGAUUUAUGGCCCUCCAGCUCACUCCCUGGAUGUUGACCCGGGAACAGGUGUGUGGUGACAGGAACACAUAAAGCACAGAUGAGGCUGAACAGGCGGCAGAGCCACUUGGUGGGGCAGUCAGCUGACCCCACGUAAAAGAAGCCCUGACUCGCUGAGGAGUGGGAGAGAGAAGUCAGGAGCUGAGCAGCCUGCCCACCUACCCACCCUGGCAUGAUGGCAGGGGAGAGCCCAGGGUCGGGGGCCUGGAUCCCUGCUGCCUUGGUGAUCCCGGGCUGACAGCCAGAGAGCACAGCGGCUCAGCUCCUGGAGAGCGAGGGUUGAAGAAAGCAGAGGGCAGCCGCCCGCGCCCGCUAGCUCCUAUUAGGUCGGUUCCUGCAGCGGUGCCCGGUGGCCUUGGCGAAGGCCCUGUCCGGCAGAGAUCAUG